GCGGAUUUGUUGCGAGAGGAGUAUCAGGUUGUGGUGGUGCUUGUGAAGCGAGGCCUCAACCUGUAUAUGAAGUGCUGCUGCAGGCAGGAAGGAGGGAAAGCGUUUUCAGAUGAUAAGAAGGAGCCUCAGCAGAGUGAGGACUUGCCACUUGCUUUGCUUGAAAAAUCAGAAGUAUGUGAUGGCGUGACUGAAGUUCUAGUUGCAUGCACCUUUGCUUGAAAUUGUGUUGUCUAGGCGUGGUAGUCGGCGUGCAUGCAUGUUGAUCCAGCAUUGACGUGAUGAUGAUUAUUGCCAUUGAUUAAUUAGGUCACUAAAGCAUCUUCAGUGGAUUACUUAUCUCUCAUACUUUAUGUAUUUUCUCUCUUCGCCAUCAAUAAUAUUUUUAUACUUUA